AAUGUUCCAUGUAUUAAACACUGAGUACCUGCACCCUUACUUACCAGAUGGGACCCAUGGUUUCUCAGUAGGUUCUGUGUCACCUGAAGAAGCAGCAUUUCUUGUUUGAAUUCCAGGGAAAGGAAGUUUUAAAGAUGUGUAGAGCCAGAGACUGCAGCCUUCAGCACUGAGCAGCUUCUGCUGUCCAGAACAGUGUGCAGUGAUGCUUGCAGCUACAGGGGAGGGGAGAAAGAAAAAAGUGCUAGCGGAUUAGACAAUGGUAGCAGCAAGACUUGCCUUGCUACAUAAGACUCCUUGUGCAAGCUUGGAGAUGUCUGCAGACUGAUUCCACUUUCAGCUCAGGAAACUGAAGACAUAAGAAGAAAAAUUGACUUAAACCUCAGCCUGUGACAUGAAGAAACCAGCUCUAGUUCAUGACCAUCUAGUUCCAUGAUCCUUUCUUUUCCCAUCUUUGCUGCUGAGUGAGUUGGCAGAUUUUUGCUUCUCUCUUACUGUUGGGAAAACAAGUAUUCCUCUCCCCUUCCCCACCUUCAGGUGCCACUAAGGGAGUUUUGCUGUUUUCUGAGACUUACUCAGUCAACUCUGUGUUCUGGUAAUGUUGUAACCUCUCUGCAUAACAGUACUGACUCUCCCAGGGUUCAGCUGUAAAUACACGAGGCUUAGGAUACAGAAGGGAUACAUUUCUAGCAUAGACUAAGAUAUUAAAACCCACAUCUGAUUAUUUUAGACAUUAAAUUACUGGAGCUCUUUGCAGUAUUGUACAAGGAAUCAGUUGCACACAUACACACAUUUACAUACUCUUUCCCCAUGAGAAAAAGCUGUUGCACACACAUUAAAUUGGAUUUUGAUUCUGCAGGCAACACAUCUCUGAAAUUGCCUAAAACCCCCUGAACUGCCCAUAAGCCAAGUAGCCCUGAAGACAUAUGCAGGGCUCCUCCACCAGAGCUGGCAGAUGGAAGGCAGUAGAUCCCCAAGAAGCCUGGAGGGAACAGCACAAGGGACAUGGCAGCAUUAACAAUACACUGAAAUAACUAACGGAGGAAAAGAAAAGAAG